rnacentral:tRNA from 1 species
GGGCCGUUAGCUCAACUGGUAGAGCAACUGACUCUUAAUCAGUAGGUCGCAGGUUCGAUCCCUGCACGGCCCACCA